GUGAAUCAUCGAAUUUUUGAACGCAAAUUGCACUUUCUGGUAUUCCGGAAAGUAUGCCUGUUUGAGGGUCAGUUACAUACACAUCGGUGUUGUGGCUUCCUUUCUUGGUGACGCGUCUGCUUUGAGUCGUCUUACCUUCGGAGACGUGACUUAAGGUUUUUGCAUGAUUUUCGCACGUCUUU
rnacentral:misc_RNA from 1 species